rnacentral:rRNA from 1 species
UACAGAGGUCCCAAGCGUUGUUCGGAUUCACUGGGCGUAAAGGGUGCGUAGGCGGUCGGGUAAGUCUGACGUGAAAUCUUCAAGCUCAACUUGGAAACUGCGUCGGAUACUAUUCGGCUAGAGGAAUGGAGGGGAGACUGGAAUACUUGGUGUAGCAGUGAAAUGCGUAGAUAUCAAGUGGAACACCAGUGGCGAAGGCGAGUCUCGUGGACAUUUCCUGACGCUGAGGCACGAAAGCCAGGGGAGCAAACGGG